UACGAAGGGGGCUAGCGUUGUUCGGAAUCACUGGGCGUAAAGGGCGCGUAGGCGGCGCGACAAGUCAGGCGUGAAAGCCCCGGGCUCAACCCGGGAAUUGCGCUUGAUACUGUCGUGCUUGAGGCCGGGAGAGGAUGGCGGAAUUCCCAGUGUAGAGGUGAAAUUCGUAGAUAUCAAGCAGAACACCUGUGGCGAAGGCGGCCUUCUGGACGAUGACUGACGCUGAGACGCGAAAGCGUGGGGAGCAAACAGG
rnacentral:rRNA from 1 species